rnacentral:rRNA from 1 species
UUUAAUUUUAUUAUUUGUUUUUUUGUAAAGGAAAUAUAUUUAGGUUUUAUUAUAUUUUUAGGAAAAAAUUUUUUUUAUAAUAGUUUAUUAGUAUAGUGAUAGAAUUAAUUUAAAAUAAAUAAAGAAGAAUUAAUUUUUCGUACCUUGUGUAUCAGGGUUUAUUAAAAAAAUAUUAAAAAUUUUAAUUUUCUCGAUUUUUAGUGAGUUAAUUAGUUAUCUAUUUUAUUGUAAAAUAAAUAUUUUAAAUAGCUAGUUGGUAGUUAAAUGCUAUUCGAACUAAAUUAUAUCUAGUUUUUAAAGAAAAAAAUUUAAUUUUAAUUAUAUAGAUAUUAAUUUAGUAUUAAAUAUAUUUAAUUUUGUAUAAUUUAUAUUUUAGGGGAUAAGCUCUUUAAUAGAAUAAUUAAAAGUUAUUAGAAUUUUAUUUAAAUUGUAGGGUUAGAAAUUUUCAUCAUUUAGUUUGUUAUAAUUAAUUAAUUAAUGUUAAAGAUUUGUAUUAAUUUUAAUUGUUUUAUUUAAAAAUUUAAUUAAAUAAAAAAAUUGAAGGUUUUAUGAUAAAAUUAGUAUAAUUUUUAUUGUAAUUUAUUAUUAAAUUAUUAAGGUUAUAAAAAGGAAUUCGGCAAAUAUAUUUUUCGCCUGUUUAAUAAAAACAUGUCUUUUUGAUUUUAAUUUAAAGUCUGACCUGCCCACUGAUUUUUAAAUGGCCGCAGUAUUUUGACUGUGCAAAGGUAGCAUAAUCAUUAGUUUCUUAAUUAGAAGCUGGAAUGAAGGGUUGGACGAGAAAAUAACUGUCUCUUUGUAAUUUUAUUAAAAUUUUAUCUUUAAGUUAAAAAGCUUAAAUUUAAUUAAAAGACGAGAAGACCCUAUAGAGUUUUACAAAACUAAUAUUAGUAAUUUUAAUUGAACUUUUUUAAAUUUUAGUUUUAGUUAUGUUUGGUUGGGGUGAUUGAAAAAUUUAAGUAACUUUUUUUAUUAUAGAACAUAAAUUUAUGAAUUAUUGAUCCAUUAGUUGUGAUAAUAAGAUUAAAUUACCUUAGGGAUAACAGCGUAAUUUCUUUUAAGAGUUCUUAUCGAUAAAGAAGUUUGCGACCUCGAUGUUGGAUUAAAAUUAAAAAUUGGUGUAGAAGCUAAUUAUUUAGGUCUGUUCGACCUUUAAAAUUUUACAUGAUCUGAGUUUAAACCGGUGUGAGCCAGGUUGGUUUCUAUCUUUAAUGAAAAGUUGUAUUUUAGUACGAAAGGACCAAAUACUUGUAAUAAUUAUUUUUUAAUUGAAUAUUAUUAAUUA